rnacentral:rRNA from 1 species
CCCCAUAGGCCUGAGGUACUGGAAGGUCCUCAGGCCGAAAGGGGCUCUGCCCGCCCGAGGAUGGGCCGGCGGCCGAUUAGGUAGUUGGUGGGGUAACGGCCCACCAAGCCCAUAAUCGGUACGGGCCAUGAGAGUGGGAGCCCGGAGAUGGACACUGAGACACGGGUCCAGGCCCUACGGGGCGCAGCAGGCGCGAAACCUCCGCAAUGCGGGCAACCGCGACGGGGGGACCCCCAGUGCCGUGGCAACGCCACGGCUUUUCCGGAGUGUAAAAAGCUCCGGGAAUAAGGGCUGGGCAAGGCCGGUGGCAGCCGCCGCGGUAAUACCGGCGGCCCGAGUGGUGGCCGCUAUUAUUGGGCCUAAAGCGUCCGUAGCCGGGCCCGUAAGUCCCUGGCGAAAUCCCACGGCUCAACCGUGGGGCUUGCUGGGGAUACUGCAAGCCUGGGACCGGGAGAGGCCGGGGGUACUCCUGGGGUAGGGGUGAAAUCCUAUAAUCCCAGGAGGACCGCCAGUGGCGAAGGCGCCCGGCUGGAACGGGUCCGACGGUGAGGGACGAAGGCCAGGGGAGCAAACCGGAUUAGAUACCCGGGUAGUCCUGGCUGUAAAGGAUGCGGGCUAGGUGUUGCUUGGACCUCGAGUCCAAGCAGUGCCGCAGG